rnacentral:rRNA from 1 species
AGAGUUUGAUUCUGGCUCAGAACGAACGCUGGCGGCGUGGAUAAGACAUGCAAGUUGAACGGUUGAUACAGGGUAGCAAUAUUCUGUGUCAGCAGUGGCGUAAGGGUGCUUAACACGUGGGUAAUCUGCCGCGAAGUGUGGGAUAACUCGCUGAAAGGCGAGCUAAUACCGCAUGUGAUUUUCUUGAGGCAUCUCAGGGAAUUCAAACAUGGGUCGCAAGGCCUGUGGUUUCGCGAUGAGCCCGCGGCCUAUCAGCUAGUUGGCGGGGUAAAGGCCCACCAAGGCUAAGACGGGUAGCUGGUCUGAGAGGACGACCAGCCACACUGGAACUGAGACACGGUCCAGACACCUACGGGUGGCAGCAGUCGAGAAUUUUUCACAAUGGGGGAAACCCUGAUGGAGCGACGCCGCGUGGGGGAUGAAGGGCUUCGGUUCGUAAACCCCUGUCAUUGGCGAACAAGUGUUAUGUCCUAAUACGGCAUGACUUGAUAGUAGCCGAAGAGGAAGGGACGGCUAACUCUGUGCCAGCAGCCGCGGUAAUACAGAGGUCCCGAGCGUUGUUCGGAUUCACUGGGCGUAAAGGGUGCGUAGGUGGUUGGUUAAGUUUGAGGUGAAAGCUCCGAGCUCAACUCGGAAAAUGCCUUGAAGACUAUCUGACUAGAGGAUUGGAGGGGAGACUGGAAUUCUCGGUGUAGCAGUGAAAUGCGUAGAUAUCGAGAGGAACACCAGUGGCGAAGGCGAGUCUCUGGACAAUUCCUGACACUGAGGCACGAAAGCCAAGGGAGCAAACGGGAUUAGAUACCCCGGUAGUCUUGGCUGUAAACGGUGCGCACUUGCUGUGAGCGGAUUCGACCCCGCUCGUGGCGUAGUUAACACGAUAAGUGCGCCGCCUGGGAAGUACGGUCGCAAGAUUAAAACUCAAAGAAAUUGACGGGGGCCUGCACAAGCGGUGGAGCAUGUGGUUUAAUUCGAUGCAACGCGAAGAAUCUUACCUGGUCUUGACAUAGUAAGAACUUUCCAGAGAUGGAUUGGUGCCUUCGGGAGCUUACAUACAGGUGCUGCAUGGCUGUCGUCAGCUCGUGUCGUGAGAUGUUGGGUUAAGUCCCGCAACG